GAAAAGAAACCAACAGGGAUUGCCCUAGUAACGGCGAGCGAAGCGGCAACAGCUCAAAUUUGAAAUCUGGCUACUUUGUAGUCCGAGUUGUAAUUUGUAGAGGAUGCUUUUGGUGAGGUGCCUUCCGAGUUCCCUGGAACGGGACGCCAGAGAGGGUGAGAGCCCCGUACGGUUGGAUACCAAACCUUUGUAUAGCUCCUUCAACGAGUCGAGUAGUUUGGGAAUGCUGCUCUAAAUGGGAGGUAUAUCUCUUCUAAAGCUAAAUAUAGGCUAGAGACCGAUAGCGCACAAGUAGAGUGAUCGAAAGAUGAAAAGCACUUUGAAAAGAGAGUUAAACAGCACGUGAAAUUGUUGAAAGGGAAGCGCCUAUGACCAGACUUGUUUCUUUCAGUUUUGUUAGUUCUCGGACUGAUUUACUCUGUUAGUACAGGCCAGCAUCAGUUUGUUGUCGGGGAGAAAGGCUUAGGGAAUGUGGCUCCUUCGGGAGUGUUAUAGCCCUUUGCAUAAUACCCUUCGGCAGACUGAGGACCGCGCUUCGGCAAGGAUGCUGGCGUAAUGGUCAUCAGCGACCCGUCUUGAAACACGGACCAAGGAGUCAACCUUAUGUGCGAGUGUUUGGGUGUAAAACCCCAGCGCGUAAUGAACGUGAACGUAGGUGAGAGCUUCGGCGCAUCAUCGACCGAUUCUGAUGUUCUCGGAUGGAUUUGAGUAAGAGCACACAGGGUUGGACCCGAAAGAAGGUGAACUAUGCUUGUAUAGGGUGAAGCCAGAGGAAACUCUGGUGGAGGCUCGCAGCGGUUCUGACGUGCAAAUCGAUCGUCAAAUAUGAGCAUGGGGGCGAAAGA
rnacentral:rRNA from 1 species